CGGACGGGUGAGUAACACGUGGAUAACCUACCUAUAAGACUGGGAUAACUUCGGGAAACCGGAGCUAAUACCGGAUAAUAUUUUGAACCGCAUGGUUCAAAAGUAAAAGACGGUCUUGAUGUCACCUAUAGAUGGAUCCGCGCUGCAUUAGCUAGUUGGUAAGGUAACGGCUUACCAAGGCAACGAUGCAUAGCCGACCUGAGAGGGUGAUCGGCCACACUGGAACUGAGACACGGUCCAG
rnacentral:rRNA from 1 species